GUAUCCGAAACGUUCGUUUUUAUUGAGCGGGAGUAAAACUCAGGAAACCACCUAAAAGUUGUUUUUUAAAACCCCAACUAGAACAUGCCGAGUUAAAAUAGGCGCAGUCGGUAGGAUUACCCUAUCAUUAUGGUAAUCCGUGAAACGUACCUGCGUGAAAACGAUUAUCCUAUGCAAAAGCACAUCGGACGGACGUAGUGCAAAAAAUUAUCCUUCUUAAAAGGAUAAAGAAAAAAUAGUGCAAAGGAGGCAAGAAACCAAAUAUUCAAAUUAUAAAUAUUAACAAGCAAAUAACACAAAGGCAAGCAGAAAACCAGGAAGAUGAACCCGGUGGGAAACGCACCAGUAAAUGACGGCAACCUUAGGUCAAUGGACAUCAACCCUUUGACUUAUUUGGAAAAUUUAAGAGAAUUUGGUGGGAGAAAGGAUGAUCUAAACACAACAUAAGUGUAUGAACAUUGUUAAAUCGAAAUUCGCCGGAAGAGCAAGGAGAGCCAUGGAAGUCCAUCCUCAUCUAACAGCAUGGAAAAGACAUGCUAUUCACAAAUUUUAGAGGUUUUUCAACAAAAGAGCAGUUUACCAGAAGUUGAGAGAAGCUCAGUGUAAGAGACACCAUUGAGUUUUACUAUUUUAUCCAACAUAAAUUGGGUAUAUUAAAUCGAAGAUGGACUCUUGUUUGAACCGUUGAGUGGAGCGGACGUAUUGUUAUUUCACUUCAUAAUAAUUUUCCUGUAACUCGUAAUAGGUCAUUACUUUUGGAAGAAAAAUUUAAGUCACUCAAGGAUAGCUGCGAUAGAGGUAUCCACUAGGCGGUUGAUGAUCUGCGUCUGUUUCCAGUGGAGCGGCAGAUCUAGAGCCCUGGAGUAGGCUUAGAAUGAACUCCAAAGAUCCAACAGCUGCGGCGGUGGUAUCAGGUCGUAGCAUGUUGUUUUCUACUGAAACCUCGACUGGUGGAGCGGCUGCUCCUGGCUCCACAGACGACUGGUCAGCAGAGGCUAUUAACGAAGACACCUGGUACGAGUCUAAAGGACAAGGUCGAACCCACUCUUUUUUCGCAUGCCUAUAAUUUGCCUAGGCCAUCAGCCUUCCUCGGCAAACCAACACGCUCUUUAAGAGGUUGGAAUAAUAGAAGAUGCAUCGCUCUCAGGUUUAUUGAGAGGCUUGGUGUGAAUGAUCCGUAGACACUCACUAGUAGGGAGAGAGACUCCCAAAAAUGAGCUCGCACAGGCUACCCCAAAGACUACACGUCAAGAUUCGGAAACUGCACAGCAGUCUGCCAAAAGGCUGCGGUCAUCUGGAGGGCAUCCCAUGCCUAAAAGAACUAGGGCGAACAACAGUAAGAUGGGUCCAAUAACCUUUUGUAAUGUCGCUAUGGAACGUUUGGUGAUGGCAGUUGUUUACAAGGGAGAAGAACAGGGCUGCAUGCUUAGGAAUAAUUGUAGUGGGAUAGUCAAUGGUUUGUUUGUCCUUGCGGAAUUUCCUGGAUGUUCUUCAGUUUGUGACGAUGCAGUCUGGUGUCGAGGAUGAUACAGACUAAUUGCCUUCGGCGAUCAAUGCUCAAUUGAAAGGUAUCGUUGUGCGGUAAAAAAGAUGGGUGAGAUCUGGCAAGGUGCAGCACUAGAUUUAGUCGAGAAGAAAGAUAUUUCUUCUUGACCAAUGGAGUAUGCUUGGAUACCAAGGAUUUCCUCAGAGCGGGAAUCGAUAUUUGGAAGACUAAGGGAAUGUAAUCCCAAUCUUUCAACCACCGACUGAAAGAUUAGUAGAUUGGAUGAGGCUGAUGGUGACCGGAUACAUGCAGUAUUCGUACUAAACUCCGUCUGUCUCGCAGACCCCAAUAAGUCUGAAGGGGUUGUAUUCUACGGAUUCAGCAAGUUGAAACUGAAGGUCUAUACAAGCGGUGGGGUUUGGGAAUCAGGAGAUGACUGGCGGAUUGCAGGAGACUGAAAAUCCCCCUGCCAGUAUCGAGACAGGAGCGGAUGGCUUCGAAACGGGACCCGAUAAGCCCUGUGUGGGUGGGUCAUCCAGUUAAACUGGGGUCAAGGUGUACGCCAGCGGGGAAGCACGGAAAGUACAAAAAGUAUUUCCCCAGCAGCAGCUAGUGAAGCAUCUAAGGAGCAAUAAGGACCGCAAGUGUCCAGUGUCCUGAGGAAGAGUGGUAACACAGCUUUCUCACAUGCCCCUGGAUGCGUACGGUAGCUCAUCAUGACAAGAUCUAAAUAAUCUUGUGAGAAUGAACUCCUGGUGGAAUCACUAGACGAGGCUAACACAACAGUGGUGGAAGUUCUGAAUCCUUACUAUGGUCUGGUUUUUACAGAUAAAUCUCCACCAUUAGAAGGCCGCUUCGGCGGCACUAAAAGUCCUCCCGAUGGCAGGGGGAUUUGACGUGGUUUUUAUCCUGGAACCAUGAGUGUGUGGAGGAAUGGUUCGUGGACUAAGAAUUCCGGGAUUUAAACUUCUCAAGGGUACGGGGAAUGGGAGAUACAGAGCCUAUAUUCUUGCAAAGAGUAGUCUAAAUGUUUUUCUUCUUCCGUCGCUAAGCACUGAAGAUUCAGUAGUAGCCAGCCGUGAAAUAAACAUGUCUCAUUACUGGUUGAAGCCUCUUCUGUAGGGAAGAAAAGCCUCAUUGUAGGCUUUUCUUCUCCCUCAGAUAUGGGGAAGUUCGGUGGUCAACGAAAGGGGUGAGCUGCUUAUUGAAAAUAUUAUAAUAAGUUGCAAUCUGGCGAUUUGUAAUAAAAGCGAUAAACCGACCUUUGUUAACAGGAACAGGCAAGAGGUACUAGAUAUUACAUUUGUAUGGGAAUAUAAAAGUGGAAGAAUAUGCGACUGGGAAGUGUUGGAUGACCACAGCUUUUCUGAUCAUCGCUAUAUUAGUUUCAGCCUUGGAGAAAAUACUGAAGUAAUGGUCCCUCAGCUAAACAGAAGAAAGGCGGAUUGGAAUACACUUCGGCACAAAAUUCUGCUCGUCUAUCCCUUCUAGACCAGAAAAGGAAGUGGAAACUAUGGAGGAUAUAGACAUAGUCGUCAAGUGGAUCACGUAGGCCCUGAAUGACUCGCUUGUGUCAGCAUGCCCUAGUGCCAAGCCACAAGAGCACCACACGAUUGGGACAUCUAUAAGGCUGAGCUAAGAAAACUACUCGUUGAUACCCAUUUCCCGGGAAAUUCUCCAAUAAACAACGUGGCGCCAGAGGAGGUUGUCACUGAUAUGCAUUCGUCGAAGGCUAUUAGGAAAAUUGUGUCUGAGCCGAAAAUCCUUUGGGCAAUAAGAAGUUUCGACUCCUUUAAGUCGCCAGGCCCUGAUGAUGUAUCGCCGGUUGAAUUACACAAUGUCGUAUAUACCAGUGGGAUAGAGGGACAUAAAGGUCAUUUUCAUUCCGAAAGCAGGAAAACCAUGCCACACGAAGGCGAAAGAUUUUCGUCUUCUUAGUAUGUCAUCCUUUAUGCUGAAGACUCUUGAGAGAUUGAUAGAAACAUAUCUUAGAGCAAAGAUCCCUGGAGAUCGCCUGUCGUGGCAGCAGCAUGCAUACAGUUAAGGCAAAUCCACUGAAACAGCCCUUUACGACCUAGUCGGCUACAUAGAGGGUUCUUUCGCUGUCAACGAAUAUACAAUGGUAGUAUUUCUUGACAUUGAAGGUUCUUUCAAUAAUGUAAAACUGACGUCAAUCAUGAAGGAGUUGGGGUUUCUAGGCAUCAACUCUACCGUAAGAAACUUAUUAAUAACUUACUUACUAAAAGAUGCAUUACGGCAGGCUUGGGAUCUGUGGAUCUAAAACGAUGGAUCAGCAGAGGAACUCCUGAAGGAGGUGUACUUUCUCCUCUACUUUGGAAUAUAGCCAUUAACAAAAUAUUUUUGUCUCUAGAAGAAAAAUGUGCCAAAGUGGUCGCGUUUGCUGAUGACGUGGUUAUUGCGGUUAAGGGAAAGUUUUCCAGCACUCUAAGAGAUAUACUUCAGGAAGCUGUACGUGCAACAGCGAAGUGGGCUACCAAAAGUAGUCUAGGUGUAAAUCCGUGCAAGGCAGAAGUACUUCUUUUCAGCAGGAGAGAAAAGUUGCCUACAGUGGAACCUAUCUUUAGGGUGGAGAGAAUGUUCCAUUUACAGAAAGUGCAAAAUACCUGGGUGUUUUGCUGGACAGGGAAUUGAACUUCAAAUCCAACAUUUUGGAAAGGGCAAGAAAGGCAACUUUUGCCCAAUACACCUGCAAGAGAGCCAUUGGCAAAAGUUGGGGAUUUAGAUCGCGCGUCAUGCAUUGGGCAUAUACUGCAGUUGUCAGACCUAUGAUGCUAUAUGGUGUUGUGGUCUGGUGCUUGAAAAGUCCACCUACUGCUCAAUACUUAACCGAAUCCAAAGGAUGGCUUGUUUGUGCAUCACAGCCGCACUUAGGACGACACCAUCUGAUGGAACUACGAUAUCCCUAGUAAUAGAAGUUUCAUAGACUUCUAUACGGAUGGUUCCAAACUAAACCACCAGGUGGGCUUUCGGGUGUACUCUAAAGAUCUAGAAUCGGUCAUAUCGAAAAGGUAACCUUACCACUGCAGUAUGUAUCAAGCGGAUAUCCUUGCAAUUAAGGAAAUAGUGAAAUGGCUAAGAUAUAAUGUCAUUACGACGAUUGGCAUAAAUAUCUUUUCAGACAGCCAGACAGUCAUUAAAUCCCUGGAGAACGUAUUUCUGAACACAAAAACCGUCCACGACUGUCGCAGAUCUCUCAAUGAGAUGGCGGAACAGUUCAAAACUUACCUGUUCUGGGUGCCGGGCAUAUCCCAGGGACUGUAAAACGGACGAGCUUGCAAGACUAGGAAUCUGUGGGUAUGCCUCUAGCGACAUGUAAGCUAUGUUUUCAGGACCAGGCCCGAAGAACAAAUGAUAGGAUAGAUGGUCACAGAGAGUGGGUUCUGAGCAUUCCAAAACUAUGUGGCCUAAUGAAGACUUGAAGAGGUCUACCGCUUUGUUGUCAUUGGCUAGAACAGACGUCUCCGUCAUUGUGUCCAUCAUGGCAGGUCGCUGUCUAAUCGGAAAACAUGCUGACAGACUGAAGGUUGCCAGCAACGAAUAAGAGAAUAAGAGACUAUAGAACACCUUCUGUGUGUGUGUCCCGCACUAGCAGUUACAAGGAGUUCCACUUUAGGUUCUCAUUUCUUUGAGAACCUGUCUGAUUUAGCGGAUGUGAACAUUCGCAAGUUAUUGAUCUUUUUAAAGCGAUCUGGAUGGUUCAGCGGUAGGAACUAGAGGGUUUCUUCUUUCUUCUGUUCCUGUGGUAUCACAAUGGACGAUAACGUCUAAGUGAGUCUGAUAGCAGACUGUCACUUAAACCUAACCUAACCUAAAUCGAAGAUGUGGACAUGAAGGCAGAAGGGGCGAAGUGAAUAGUAACAAACAAACGGUUCUAAAAACAUUUGUGACAAAUCUUCCAGUCCACAUGACAACUGUGUUGUGUGCAUUAAAACCAACAACCAUUGAAGAAGCUCUGCACGAAUUAAGCUUAGCAGGCUUCUUGAACCAAGAAAAGAAGCAAGACAAACCUCACUCCAGCAGUAAACAUCAGCAAUAUGCCGAAUGGAAGCCGAUAUUCGCACAUCCUGUAUAUAGGACACCAAUACAAUGGCAGAAGAAUUCAUCCCAACAAUGGCAGCCAACAUCACCUCAACAACAAUGGAAACAUAGGCCACCACAACAACAACAAUGGCAACCGAGGUACUUACAACGAAAACAACAAUAUUGGCAUCCAAGAUAUCCCCAACAACAAUAAAGGCAGCCACCACCUAAAUUCCAACAGAACCGAUGAUAGUAGAUGCAUCCCCACAGUUUAAAAGGCAAACCCACCAUCAGGAGAAGGAUAACAACAAGAAAGGUCUCUGGAAGUCCUUGCUGGCGAUUUUCCUGAUGAUAUCAUCAGUUGUAGCACAAAAACUCGAGGUAGUCGACCAUAGUAAAGGAAACUAGGAGAGCAAGUUUCACAUCUUAAUGAUUUAUACUUACAACAUGAAAUAGAUCACAUCAAUUUACGACUUAAGAGUAUAAUACCUCAUCAUACAAGGAAUAAAAGAGGUUUAAUAAAUAUAUAAGGAACAGGUUUAAAAUAUCUUUAUGGAACAGUGGAUAAUAACGAUAGGGAAGAGGUCAAGGGAAUAUUAAAGGUUUUAGAGAUAAACGGGCACAAUUUGAUAACACAAAAUUAUAAUCAGAUACAUAUCAACACCCAAUUUGACAAUCAAUUAACUAAUUUGACAAAAUUAUACAAUGAACAAACUAGAUUAUUAAUGAAAAGUGUUUUAAAUAUUAAAUUAUAUAACAAGAAUACAGCAAGAAUUGACAAAAUGUAUUACCUAAAAUACCAAAUUGAUCACAUGAACAUCCUGAGUGAUGAAGAAAUUAAAAUAUAUAUAAUAUAACCUUAGAUAAAAUGAAAGAAAUAAAGAUGAAUCUAGCCAUUUACCGAUGCAAUAUUUUAUUUAUAUUAAAAAUACCUCAUUUUAAUCCUAAAAUAUUUCAAGAAAUGUAUUUCCCACCUAAUAAAAAUAAGAUGCAAAUUGAUAUUGUGAACAAAUUAUAUAUUACAAAGAACAAUAAAAUAUAUUAUGAUGUAAGUGAAACAACAAAUCUUAAAGAAAUUGAAGAAGAAUAUAUUUCCAAUUUAUUUAGUUAUAAGCAAAUGAAAAGCCAUUACGUUAGAAACACCAAAACACAAAUUUUUGAGAUUGGAAAAAAUAUAAUAAUUGCAAUAAAUUGCAAUAAACCAAACCGGAUAAUUAAUGAUACCUGUAAUAAUUAUCUAUUAAAUUUAUCUGGAAAUCAUUUAAUGAUCAUAGAAAAUUGUAAAGUGAAAUUAGAUAAAUGGUAUGAUAAAAGAGUAUUGCAAAAAAAAAAUUAAUUAUCCCAAAUCCCAAUAGAGACGUCCAUUUGUUGUUAAAUGACACCUAUGAUUCUUUGGAUAAAUUGAUUCAAACAGAAAGCAACUAAUUAUAUUGUAUUAACGUUAAUAAUUGUAAUUAUAUUCAUUAUAUCAUUAUGUUUUUAUGUAAAAUACCAACCAAAAUCAAGUAAUGUGAAUUUAGGUGUUAAUACACCCUUUCCCGUAGCUCCUUUAGAUCACGGGCAAGAGUCUUCGUCCGGGGGAGUUAUAACCCAAAAUAAAAUACCCUUUCAAUAGUGACUCAUUCAUCAGAUGUUCAUAUUACAACAUGAUCAUACGAUGAUCAUCCUUAUGAUGACUCAUCCAUCAGAUAGUCAUAUUACACCAUGUUCAUACGACGGUCAUAUUCACAACAUAUAUAAAUCUCUUUCAGAUAGUUAUAUUACAGCAUGAUCAUGCAAUGAUCAUAUUCAUAGGAAUCAUAUUAUGUAUCAUUAUAAACAUAUUUAGCACAAACACAGAUAUCAUAUCCAAAGCCAAUCAUAGAAUAAUAACAUUAUGCUAAGAUUGAAUAAAAAUUACCAAUAAAGAAUAGUUCUAUUCUAACGGCCAAAGUA